rnacentral:rRNA from 1 species
UGGGGAAUUUUGCGCAAUGGGCGAAAGCCUGACGCAGCAACGCCGCGUGACCGAUGAAGCUCUUCGGAGUGUAAAGGUCUGUCGUGAGGGAAGAAACGUUUUGAUGUUCAAACCAUCAAUACCUGACGGUACCUCACAAGAAAGCUCCGGCUAACUUCGUGCCAGCAGCCGCGGUAAUACGAGGGGAGCUAGCGUUGUCCGGAAUUAUUGGGCGUAAAGGGUGCGUAGGUGUAUUGAUAAGUCCUGAUUGAAAUACUUCGGCUCAACCGGAGAUCUGGUCAGGAAACUGUCAGGAUUGAGUUUGGUAGGGGUGAGCGGAAUUCCUGGUGUAGCGGUGAAAUGCGUAGAUAUCAGGAGGAACACCGAAAGCGAAGGCAGCUCACUGGGCCAAUACAGACGCUGAGGCACGAAAGCGUGGGGAGCAAACAGG